AUAAAAGAGAAGAGGACACACAGAGACACAUAGGAAAGAGGUCAUGGGAAGGUGGAGGCAGAGAUUUAUAAAGCCAAGCAAUUCCCGGAGCCACCAGGACCUCAAAGAGGCAAGGAAGGAUUCUUCCUUAGAUCCUUUGGGGGGAGUGUGGUCCUGCCGACACCCAUGAUUUUGUCCUUCUGGCUUCCAGAAUUACGAAAGGAUACAUUUCUAUUGCUUUAAACCAGGGGUUUCCAACCUUUGGGCCAUGGACCUGUACCUGUCCAUGGCCUUUUAGGAACUGAGCGGCAAAGCAGGAGGUGAGCGGCUGACCAGUGAGCAUUACCACCUGAGCUCUUCCCCCUGUCAGAUCAGCAGCAGCAUUAGAUUCUCAUAGAAGCACAAACUCUGUUGUGAACUGCGCACACAAGGGAUUUAGGUUGCGGGCUCCUUAUGACAAGUAAAUGCCUAACGAUCUGCCACUGUUUCCUAUCACCCUGAGAUGGGACCGUCUGGUUACAAGAAAACAAGCUCAGGGCUGCCACUGAUUGUACAUUAUGAUUUUAGCAGAAACGAUGGACUAAGACACCAGGGAAAAAGCAUGUAUCAGAGUCUCUCUCAUAGUUUUCAGAAGAAACCAACCCUAACAAGACCUUUAUAAUGGACUUCUCGGCCUUGAAAACUGUGAGAUAAUAAAUUUCUGUUGUUUAAACCACCCAUAUUGUAGUACUUUGUAACAGCAGGCCUAGCAAAC
rnacentral:lncRNA from 10 species